ACACUGGAUUUUAUAAAAUCCACUUUUGUUUGUAAUAAAAUCGAUU
rfam:Hymenolepis diminuta genome assembly, scaffold: HDID_contig0000413